rnacentral:rRNA from 1 species
AGUAACGGCGAGUGAAGCGGCAACAGCCCAAAUUUGAAAUCUGGCCCUCGGGUCCGAGUUGUAAUUUGUAGAGGAUGCUUUUGGUGAGGUGCCUUCCGAGUUCCCUGGAACGGGACGCCAUAGAGGGUGAGAGCCCCGUCUGGUUGGACACCAAACCUCUGUAAAGCUCCUUCGACGAGUCGAGUAGUUUGGGAAUGCUGCUCUAAAUGGGAGGUAUAUGUCUUCUAAAGCUAAAUAUUGGCCAGAGACCGAUAGCGCACAAGUAGAGUGAUCGAAAGAUGAAAAGCACUUUGAAAAGAGGGUUAAAUAGUACGUGAAAUUGUUGAAAGGGAAGCGCUUGUGACCAGACUUGAGCCCGGUUAAUCAUCCAGCCUUCUGGCUGGUGCACUUGGCCGGCUCAGGCCAGCAUCAGUUCGGCGUGGGGGAUAAAGGUUUCGGGAAUGUGGCUCCUCCGGGAGUGUUAUAGCCCGUUGCGUAAUACCCUGUACUGGACUGAGGUUCGCGCAUCUGCAAGGAUGC